rnacentral:rRNA from 1 species
GACGAACGCGGGGGGCGUGCUUAACACAUGCAAGUCGAACGGGCCUGCCUGGCUUUGGUUGGGUGGGUGAGUGGCGAACGGGUGAGUAACACGUGAGUAACCUGCCCUCUUCUCUUGGAUAACUGCUUGAAAGGGCGGCUAAUACGGGAUGUUCUGGCUGCCUCGCAUGGGGUGGUUUGGAAAGAUUCGGCCUGGUUUUGGUUGUUUUGGUGGGGGAUGGGCUCGCGGCUUAUCAGCUUGUUGGUGGGGUGAUGGCUACCAAGGCGGUGACGGGUAGCCGGCCUGAGAGGGUGGACGGUCACACUGGGACUGAGACACGGCCCAGACUCCUACGGGAGGCAGCAGUGGGGGAUUUUGCACAAUGGGCGCAAGCCUGAUGUAGCGACGCCGCGUGAGGGAUGGAGGCCUUCGGGUUGUGAACCUCUGUCGCCGGUGAUGUAG